rnacentral:misc_RNA from 1 species
UGGUUCUGGCAUCGAUGAAGAACGCAGCGAAAUGCGAUAAGUAAUGUGAAUUGCAGAAUUCAGUGAAUCAUCGAAUCUUUGAACGCACAUUGCGCCCUCUGGUAUUCCGGGGGGCAUGCUUGUUCGAGCGUCAUUACAAACUCUCAAGCUAUUGCUUGGCCUUGAGCGAUUUUCUCGAAAGAGAAAUGCUCCAAAAGCUUUGGCAGUGGUGCUUCUCUGUGCAGUGUAGCGAGAACCUAGUUCAACAUUGUUCACGGAAGGCGGCCACCCGCCUCCAAAGACCAUCUUUUUCAAGUUUGACCUCGGAUCAAGUAGGGAUACCCGCUGA